GUGAUUUUUUUUUUUUUUUUUUUUUUUUUUUUUUUUUUUUUUUUUUUGCUUUUGCCUUUGAUGUAAUCGAAUUUUGAAAGGCUGUCACUUAAGUAUUGACGAGUGUGUUGUUGUAUUUUUCUUAGGGAAAAUGAACAAUUGUCGAAAUAUGGUGAUACAAAGUCUGCGAGGUCUAUAAUGUACACUGAGUUGAAGAAACUGAUUGAAGCAAAUCCUCUGUUUCGGGAGAAGCUUGCCUUCCCCAGUUUCAAAGCUUCUCGCCUGCGAACUUUGAUCAAUCAAAGGUGAACUACAAGGGUCAAUUUUGUCUUUCUUGAUAGAGAUGAUGAGUUUAAGUGUGUGACAUGUGUAUUUUGGGAAAUUGCAGCUUGAACUGGCAGCACCAGCUUUGUAAAAAUCCAAGGCCUAAUCCUGACAUCAAGACAUUGUUCUUGGAUCACUCUUGCUCACCAGCAAAUGAUGCUCGUGCUCUCACUCCUGUGAAUCUUCCAGUUGCCGCUGUUGCAAGACCUUCAAAUUUUGUUCCUCUUGGAGUACAUGGUGGAGUAUGAUCACUUACUCACUUCCACCUAUUCUGUUUAUAACUUUAUGUUUAGAUUUUGAGAGUUGAUGGAAACCAUUGGAUCUGUGCAGCCUUUUCAACCUAGUCCUGCUCCAGCUCCUAAUGCCAAUGCUUUAGCUGGAUGGAUGGCAAACCCAAAUCCUUCUUCAUCAGUACCAUCUGGUGUCGUGGCUGCAUCCCCAUUUCCUAUGCAGCCAAGUCAAGGUAUAUUAGAUGUUUCUAAUGUUUUGGAUAUUAUGGUAUCUUUGGGGCUUCUAAUUGUUAUAUUAGAGUUGUUAGGAAAUAAAUACUAAGACCUGAAAUCUGUUGUUGUAUUUCCUCGUAAUAGUUAAUGUGCUGAAACACCCUCGGGCACCGUCAAACUCUCUAGGAUUGAUGGAUUAUCAAAAUCCUGAACAUGAACAACUCAUGAAACGCUUACGGUCUGCACAAACCUCCAACGAGGUACUUGUUUUGAGGUUUCCCUUGUUUUUGUAAUGCUUAAUGAGCAAAAUAAGCUCUUGUUGCUUUGGAGUAUGUGUUUUGAUGUUUAGUAUCUGGCUCUACUUUUUUUUUUUUAAUCACAGGUCACAUAUCCUACUCACUCUCAUCCAGCUGCAUCACUUGACGACCUCCCUAGAAAUGUCGUGAGUACAAUUCGCCAAGGGUCGGUGGUGAUAACCAUGGAUUUUCACCCUUCUCAUCACACUUUGCUCGCUGGUUAGUCCUUUGCCACCAUGAAAAGAUUAUUAGGGUUGAGCUUAUUGGUUGGAUCUUGUUAUAACAUGUCUAUUGCUUGUAGUUGGAUGUUCAAGCGGCGAAGUCACCUUGUGGGAAGUUGGAUCCAGAGAGAAAGUUGUCACAGAGCCUUUCAAGAUAUGGAAUAUGGCUGCUUGUUCUGGUAUCUUUCAGGUUGUUCCUUCUUUCUCUAUCGUUUUUAUUACAAUUUCUAGAAACAUACUUUAACACUAAGCUAAUCCAGCUUUGAGAUAAAAAUUUAACUAUAUGACUUUUCUUUAAUGUGAUGAUGGCGUUUUUUUCAUAGGGCUGUAUUGUUAAAGACCCAUCGAUAUCUGUCACUCGUGUAGCAUGGAGCCCAGAUGGAAAUUUGAUUGGUAUUGUUCUCCCAAAAACUGUUUAAAAGAUGUAGAUGUAGUCUCAAGUAGACACGAGAUUUGAACUUGGGUAUCAUUUUCCGUGUACAGGGAUUUCGUUUACUAAACAUCUGAUCCAUGUGUAUGCCUACCAAGGCUCGGACUUACGCCAACACCUCGAGGCAUGUCUAAUCUACUCUUUUGUACUUAGUUUCUUUUGUCUCUGUUUCAUUUGUGUUGAACUUUCAUCAUUCAUUUCUUUCUGCGUAUUAGAUUGAUGCUCAUGUAGGCUGUGUGAAUGACUUGGCGUUUGCCCACCCAAACAAACAAAUGUGUGUUGUAACUUGUGGGGAUGACAAAUUGAUUAAGGUGUGUAAAGAUUGUGACUUUGAAGGUUUUUAUUUUUGUUUCUGUGUCUAAUUAUAAGAUUUCUUAGGUGUGGGAUUUGAGUGGGAAGAAGCUUUACACUUUUGAAGGCCACGAGGCACCGGUUUAUUCCAUUUGCCCUCACCAGAAAGAAAACAUUCAGGUACAAACAUCUCUUGUAUCUCUUGUUUUAGAAAACCUGAAGCUUUCACUUUUUUUUUUUUUUUUUUUUUUUGUAAUAUAUUCUUCUAUUUUUUACUAUGCAGUUUAUAUUCUCAACUGCCCUUGAUGGUAAGAUUAAGGCUUGGCUCUAUGAUAAUGUUGGUUCUCGGGUUGAUUACGACGCACCAGGACAGUGGUGUACAACAAUGCUAUACAGUGCUGAUGGAAGCAGGUACAUCAUUCUUAUUUCCAUAAAUUAAAACUCUUCUGAACAGUUUAUAAAAGCUCAUAUUAACUAAACAGUUGCUGUAUUUUCAGAUUAUUUUCUUGUGGGACGAGUAAAGAUGGAGACUCUUUCCUCGUUGAGUGGAAUGAGAGCGAAGGUGCCCUGAAGAGAACAUAUUUGGGCUUUAGGAAGAAAUCGACUGGAGUUGUUCAGUUUGAUACAACCCGUAACCGUUUCUUAGCUGUUGGUGAAGACAAUCAAGUAAAAUUCUGGGACAUGGACAAUACAAAUCUUUUGACAACUGUUGAAGCUGAAGGAGGACUUCCGGUAUGAAAAGUUCUUCUUCAUUUUUUUAUAUCUUGGCUACUUGUAUAUAAUAAUCUAUCGUACUCUCGAGCCUGUCGCUUUACUGAUGGUAUGUACUGCUUAUAUCAGAAUCUACCACGAUUGAGAUUCAACAAGGAAGGGAAUCUUCUUGCAGUUACCACAGCAGAUAAUGGAUUCAAGAUCCUAGCAAAUACUGAUGGUCUCAGAACCUUAAGAGCAUUUGAAGCUGGGUCUUUUGAAGCAUCUAAAGCAUCCAUUGAUAUGAAGGUUGGAAUCAUUUCUUUUCACGAUGUAGUCUCUUUAUUACUCAUGCCUUUUGUCCAGCUUUAACUUGAGGGUCGAUGCUGGUGAUUCAGGUAUCCACUUCUGCAAUGGCUCCAAGCAUCAGCCCAACUAUCGGUAAAAUUGAACACAUGGAAACUGACUCUCCUGCAAGGCCAACCCCAAUUCCUGUAUGAUUUAAGAUUUUAGCAGUGUUACGGAUUUUGGUCCUGCUUUUGAGUAAUUUAUAAUAUGUUGUAAGUACGCUUUGCUUGUCAUCCAAUUUUGGUGUUAUUAUGUAUGCAGAAUGGAAUUGAAGCAAUGUCAAGAGCUAUGGAAAAGCCAAGAAACUUGGAGUCUAAACCUUUGGAGCUUGCAGAAAUUGUUGAUCCGACUCAGUGCAGACAAGUGACGAUGCCAGAUAGCAAGGAUUCUGUUAGCAAGGUUUGUUGCCGUCUCAGCUUGAUUUUUGCUCAUCUGCUAUCCUGUUCAUUAUAAAUAUAUUGUAAUAAUCCGUUGCUGCUAUGUCAAUUGUAAAGGUUGCUCGGCUUCUUUAUACAAAUUCUGGCGUCGGCGUAUUGGCUCUCGGAUCGAAUGGUGUUCAAAGACUAUGGAAGUGGAGCCGCAAUGAGCAAAAUCCUUCUGGGAAGGUGAUACGUUAUACCUUUUACAUUCUACACCUAAUGUUGUUUUUCGAUAUAUGAGUUGUUGAGUCACUUAUUUAAAUCUCUCACAUAAGUGUCUGUCUGAAAGUGUGUCUCUUGAUUUUGAAGGCAACGGCUAGUGUAACUCCACAGCAUUGGCAGCCAAAUAGCGGUCUCCUAAUGGCAAAUGAUGUUCCCGAGAAUCCUGAGGCAACUGUUCCGUGUAUAGCUCUUUCUAAGAAUGACUCAUACGUAAUGUCAGCUUGUGGUGGAAAGGUUUCGUUAUUCAAUAUGAUGACUUUCAAAGUAAGCAGCUUAUCAACUUUACUUUUCUCUGGACAACAUGUCUGUAAAUAUGCGAGCUAGAUGGCAUUUUUCACAUGGUUGACAGGUAAUGACGACUUUCAUGCCACCGCCACCAGCUUCAACGUUCUUGGCAUUUCAUCCUCAAGAUAAUAACAUUAUCGCAAUUGGUAUGGAGGACUCAAGUAUACAUAUCUACAACGUCAGGGUAGAUGAGGUAUGAUUUUGUUGUUUACUGAUUUAUACUAAACUUCUGUUGUAAUUACUGAUUCACCUCGUAAUGAAUCUGUAACAUAAUCUCUUUUUAAUCUAUAGGUGAAAACAAAGUUGAAAGGUCACCAGAAGCACAUUACCGGUCUAGCAUUCUCAACCACGCUCAAUAUUCUUGUCUCUUCUGGUGCCGAUGCUCAGGUAACUCAAAUUUUAUGUUUCUAAAAUGCUUUUAACCUUUCAACUUGGCUUUUGAAACCUGCUGUUCUCAUCUUGGCGUGUGACCUCACAAAUUCCUUAUUACAGCUCUUCUUCUGGACCGCUGAUUCGUGGGAGAAGAAGAAAUCUUCAGCGAUCCAGCUACCUCCUGGAAAAGCACCAUUAGGCGACACACGAGUCCAGUUCCACAAUGACCAAAUCCAUUUACUGGUUUCACAUGAGACUCAACUCGCCAUUUAUGAUGGGUCAAAGAUGGAUUGUAUUCAUAAGGUAAAUCCGAAACCUUUUUUUCCGCCAGAUGUAUAUUUUAGAAAACAAAACUUAAUCUGACAUUCCUUGUCAUAUUUGUGCAGUGGGUGCCACAAGAAGCUCUCUCUUCACCCAUAACCUCUGCAUCUUACUCAUGCAACAGCCAGCUGGUUUAUGCGUCAUUCGCUGAUGGAAACAUUGGAGUCUUUGAUGCUGAAACCUUGAGACUCAGAUGUCGCAUUGCUCCAUCAGCUUACAUGCCUCAACCAACACCGAACAGGUACUGUGUUAUACAAACCUUCAUAUAAAGCUCCUAUAAUGUUGACCACUGUGAUUUGUUGGACUUAUUGUGCUCUCUUUUUCUUCUGGGAUAGUGCACCUAUCGUUCCACAGGUGAUCACUGCUCAUCCACAAGAACCGAAUCAGUUUGCUGUUGGACUCUCUGAUGGAUCUGUUAAAGUGAUUGAGCCAUCAGAACUUUCUAGAAGAUGGGGUGUUGGCGUCGUGGCUGGUUCAGAUAAAGCAGGGACUGAAAAUGGACGGCCGUCUAGUUCAUCAGCGGCUAACAACUCAAGUUCAGAUCAGAUUCAAAGGUAAAAAUAGUGCUGUCAGUUAAGUAAGUUAGUUGACAUAUCUUUUUUCUAAUAUGGAUUGUAAAGUUGUGGUAGCUUGUGUUUUUUUUUUUUGUAAAUGAGAUUCAUAAAAUUAAAUCAGUAGGCGUAAUAACAGUUGUUAUAACUUCAUUUUACAAUGGUCGGCAUUAUUACAGUUUUAAAAGGCUAUAAUCUUUUGAUUGUAGCUUUUAAAUAUGUAUGGAUCUGAGACCAACCAUUAUUAUUAUUUACUAGUCUGAUUGCUCAAACUACCAUUAUUAUUGUAGCUUUUGAAUUCCAAAGAACAUGAUUUGAUUCGAGUUUAUAUUAUUAGUAUUUGACAAGAUAUAGAAUAACCUUAUUGUCAGAAAUACUUGAUUCUUGGCAAGUAAUCAUUGUAGAAAUAGAUUAUUGUAAUGACAGGAGCUAGUUGAUAAAAAAAUUUGAGAGAUUGAUGGAACUGUUCUUUAAAGAUAAAUUGUACGUACACUUGUUUACAAUUUAUGUUUGUAACUUGUAAUAAGGUCAAAAUCGAUUAGGUCAACAGAAGCUUGGAAAGAUGCAUACUCAAUCAAGAAGAAGCCAUUAGUUUUCUCUUUUUCUUCUGGUCCCUCCGCUGAUCACGCCGACCUGAAAAAUGCACAACACAGCAAGAUCAUAAACCUCUGUUUAAGUUUCAACUGAGCCCAUUACUGGGCACAAAUAAGCUCACACACAUCAGUGAAAGCAAGUUAUUAACUUAGAUCAGACUCGACUAAUACAUACCUAUCUUCUCUUCCUUUCGUUUCUUCCUCAAACUCGCUAUGUCACGCCUCUUUUCUGCACUCUGACCUUUCAUGUUCAGCAUCUGAACAAAGCAAGAACAUCUUUCAUCAGAUAUGGUCAUACAAACUGGGAAUAUCAUUCAUCAGAGAUGGUCAUGCAAACUGGGAAUAUCAUUCAUCAGAGAUGGUCAUGCAAACUACGUACCUCGUUACCACCAUCACGAAGGGCUUGGAGAGGUUCGAUGCAGUUCUGGUUAAUGACAACAAGUUUUCUUUUCUUUUUAUCUCCACCAUUUUGCAUUUGUGAUUGUUUUUGCUUGGCUAACUCUGCAAACUGAUUCUGCAUAGUAGUCGAAACACCAGCCUGGGACAUAAAAAAAAAGAUACUGAUAAGAGUCUUGUACAGUAGGAGCUUCUGUUCUGAAGCGAGCUAGAAGGCUAAAGAUUUUGUUUUCUUUCUAAUCCGGGACAUGGAGGCUGUGACAAAAAAGAAAAAGAUAAAAGAGGAACAUAAUUUACCCCAGCAAAGUAACGGCCUGAAAAUUUCUUAGGCUGCAUUGGACGCGAUAAGAGAGAGUUAAGUUCCUGUGGAUUCAACCAGAUGUCAAAAUUAAAUUCGUUAUACGAUUUCCUAAGGGAAACUUAUAAUUCAUGAUUAAGAAGAAUUUUGCUUUUGAGUAGUAAUGAUAAACCUCCUGCAACUUAUUAAGUUGUGCUGAGGUCGCUUUUCUCUGCCUGACAUUGUCCACUCUUUCCUCUUCACUUUCAUCAUCGUCCAAUUCGAGUUCCAUCGCUUCAGCAUGUUUUUCAAGCCAGGUCCUGUCUGCUUUCUCCUGGAUAGCAGACACCACAAACAAAUCAAUGACAGAAUUGAAGAUCAAGUAUGCAAUAAGAGUUAAAAAGCAUCCAGCUGCGAGUAGUGAGUAUAAAGCUACUACGCAGACCACCAACAAAAAAUUCACGUCGGCCAGGGUUAAUAUAAUUCUAAACAUGCAAUUAUUUCCAAAUUUUCACUCUGGUGCUAUUACAACAAAACCAUAAGAUACAAGUAAAUUCAGUAUACUGAUGGAAGAUAUACCCGUGAGCCUUUCCGCUCAAUCUGGUCUAUCUGACGUGCUAGAGAUAAUCGUUUCCUCACAGCUGGCAUAUAAGAGCUAUCCACAGGGAACAUCUUUACGCUUUCCUGUAAACACAAACAAAGUAACCUUCAGCCUGAAGUAGCGAAACCGCAAGUAAAAAUACCUACUUUAGCAUUACCCUACUCAGUGUUUUUCUUUAUGAGGAUGACUAAACUUUGGUUGGGGAGUGUGAAUAUAUAUACCUUAGAAAAUGACUUGCAUAACGUGUAAAACUUUGAUGUAUCAGUUGGCGCAAUCAAAGCUAUACUGCAUCCAUCUGCAAAUGCUCUAGCAGUCCUCCCACUUCUAUGUACAUAUACCUAUAUGGAUAAAAGGCUUAGAGCUUGUAGAAAUGUUAUCAAUCAAAAACUAGAAAAGUUAGCAGGUCUUAGCUUACUUCUGCAGAAUGUGGAAGUUGGUAGUGAAUAACAGUUCGCACAUUCUUAAUAUCAAUUCCCCUUGCUGCAACAUCUGUUGCUAUGAGUAUUCCAUUUUCGCUUGCACGGAAGCGGUCGACUGCCUAUGACAUAUAAUAAGCAAAGAGUGAGUAACUCAGGAUACAACAAAAUGAUAUUUGAUUAUUGUAGCAAAAGAGUUCAUGUGGACAAAUAACUAAGCAAUAGAAACUUGAACCUUCAACCGAGCUCGCUGCUUCAUAUCUGAGUAGAGUUUGCAAACAUCGAGUCCAAGAAUCUUUAAAAGCGCACAGAUAUGACGUAAAGCUGCCACUGAUGUACAGAAAACAAUUGUCCGCCCUUGUCCAUGGACGCUCAAAAUAUAAUACAAGUACGCAUCUUUUUCCUCCUCUUCACACCUGUAGUUUAUCAAAAGAUAUUAAUACUAAGAAUACCGAGAUAGACCAAAAGAAGUCCCAUCAAGAUUUCUGGAUGUUUUGCACGCAAAUAAUGAGUAGAAGCAUGGAGUGCUACAAGCAAUAAAAGCUCACUUAUUACCCAGUCAAAUUAAGAGCUCUGGAGGGAUAUAAGUCAAAUAGCACUUACUUAACGAAAGAUUCUUCAAUCUUUGGUGCCAAAAUAGAUGCAGUUGUCAGGUCAAUGAUUGCAACACUAUCUCUCAUUCCAGCUCGUUCAGACAAAACCUCAAUAGAAUUCACUUCACCAGAUGAUGACUGCUUCGACUUCGAGGAGCCACGCUUUAGUUUUUUACGGAAAUCUGAAGACAGCGCUAUGGUAGCUGAGAAAACAAAAGUUUGUCUUUUCUUCUUUGGGGCGUUGGAAACUGUGUCACUACUCUGCACAGUUUGCAUGUUCCCUUCAUUUGGUCUAUCUGUCCCUGGAAGCAAGUCAAUUAUAGACUGCAGCUCCCUGAAAUGACCACUUUCAACCAUGCGAUCAGCCUCGUCCAACACAAAGAACGACAGGGAAUGCAGCUGCCAAAGAGAUCAGAACCAUUACACAGUGUCUAAGAAUAGCGAAAUAGUAAUAAUAUUUACACAUGCCUAAUUAGCAUAUUAGCAGACACACUCAUUUUCAAGAAAACGGUAUUAGAUUACAAAAUGAUUAUUGCAUCUAAGCAAAAAUUCAAUAACUACACCAGAAUCUGUUAAAUGUAAAAGCAAGAUACCGAACUCAAAAAAGUACAUGAUUCUUCUACUCUCCGAUUGUGCAUUACAUACCUCUACAAGAUGCUUUUCUCCAGCGGACAUAAGUUCCCAUAACCUUCCUGGAGUUCCGACAACUAUUUCUGGUUUCCCUUUCAAAAGUCUUUCCUGCUUCGCUGAUGACAUCCCACCAACAAUAGGAACGACCCUGACGUUGAGAUCUUUGGCAGCAUUCUUAAGAUGAUCCGUCACCUGGAAGGGAAAAAUGGAAUUGUAUUUCAGAACUACUGCAUGACCAAACCCACAAGUGAACAAAGAAGCAUGUCAGAAUGGAAAAAAAAAAAGAAGCAAUGUGAUGAUAGUAAAGGAUACCUGAAGAGCAAGUUCCCUAGUCGGAGUGAUGAUUAGAGCUCUUAAAUAGCCAUCUGCAGCAUAUCUUUUUGCUUCUUCUCCCUUCAAUGAAUACAACUUACCAACCUUUUCCCGCUCGUCUAAAAGGCGUUGCAGUAUGGGCAACCCAAAAGCAAGAGUCUUACCAGACCCGGUCUCAGCAGCACCAAUUACAUCCUGUGGUCCAAAUAUGAACCAUACAUUUAAAAAAAAAAAAAAAAAAAAAAUGAUAGAAAGUGAAAGCUGGUUAUCUUACCUUUCCCUGAUAUGCUGCCACAGAAAAACAAGCCUUCUGGAUUUCUGUUGGCUCGUUAAAUCCGAGGUGGCAUAUUGACUUCAUGAGUAGUGGAUGGAGUCUCAUUGAAGUCCAUGCACUAAAUUCCGGAGGAAUCUCUUCUUCUUCAACUUCCUCCUCUACUUUGUUCUCCUCAUCGCACAUAACUGCUACAAAUGAUGAUCUACCAUUAUAAUUUGACCUUAAGUUGAGGGGACAAGAAUUAAAUGACAGAAUAACAAACCUCAAGGAUAGGCAUAAAGUAGUGCUAGAGGUAACAAGAGAUAGUUUAAAAUAUUCAAUGAUUUCCAACUCACGUGAAAAUGGUCGCACAGAAGAAAUUCAAUGGCGGAACUUAAAAAGAUAAGCAGGAAAUUUUUCCAAAAUGAAGAUAGUACAAUACAACCGGAUGUUAUCCUUGAUAAAUCUAUCAAUCACAGAGUUUUAGUUUUUGAGACCAGUGAAGGAUCAUCAAUAGACUAAGGUAUUCCUUGCCAAAUCUUAAUCUCCCUAAGAGAAAUUGUCAUAUACUGACUACCUAGUAAUGACUACCUAUUUUGCACCAAAAAAUAAAAACAAUAAAGAGCAUAUGAAAUACUAACCAGCAGAAGAUUCCUGAUCCUUUUCGGCCUCCUUAAUCUUUUUCUGCUUCUUCUUCUUCUUCUCCUUCUUCUUCUCUUUAUUUUUCUUAGUUUUCUUCUCUUUUAUCUUACGACUCUCCAAGUCAUCCUCAUCCUCAUCAUCCCUUCCUUCUCCAUCUCCAUCUUCGUCUCCAUCUUCGCCUUCAAUGAUCUCCUCCACAUUCUCGUAGUCACCAUCAUCGUUCUCUCCAGCUAGCUUCUUCGACUUCAACUCUCCCUCAGCUAUUCCACUUUCAAUCGUAGGAAGAGCUAGACCGUAAUCAGCUUCAUCAAUCUCCUCAAGUGAAAGAAAACCUGCCCAAACAAAGUAUAAAGUUUCAGAAUUUCACUGAAUUAACAAGGCCAAGCAAUGACUCUAGACACGAAUUUGAGAUUUUCUAGAAUGAAGAUUACAAAAUUACAAAUUUUGUUUACCUCCGUCGAGCUCCCCUGAACCUGCAAAUAGAGUUGAGAAGGUUUCGCCCUCGUCGUCUUCUCCGAUAGGUAUAGAAGAGCUCCAGGGAAGUGAAUCAAUACGUUCGAAAUCUUCCUCCCGCUUUCUCUUAUAAGUUCUCUUGUUCCUCUUCACCAUAGAGGAAGAUUCUUUGCCGCCUGCAACCAUGUUAGCUGUUGAUUUGAGCUCGAAUGAUCACAAAAUGGUUUCGAAUCUCUCUGGCCCCAAGUAGAGGAGUCGUCGUUGGCAGAGAGAUGAGUUAACUGAAGAAAAAGUCAAAAACUUUCAUAAACCCUAAAUCAGAAGGAGACGAUGUGUGGUGUAAUCAAACCGGUUUCGAUUUCGGUUUCAAUCCGGUUAACAUUGAAUUAAGAUUUAGAUGAACACGGCAGUGACAUGAUUGGGGCUUUUCUUAUGAAGCCCAUUAGCUUUCUUUCUGCAAAAAACCCAGUUUAGUUAAUUUUAAAAAUCUUUUCUUAAAGUUGUUUUCUAAAUAAAAUUUUAAUACUUUUAAAAAUUUAGACCUUUUUUUUAGUUAUUAUUCGAAACAGAGUAAAAGUAUAUUUAUAGUACGUAGUUUUUAAGAAUAUAUUUUUAUGGAAUGCAUAAUUAAUUUUGAGCAAUUUAUUUAUGAAAAAGCGAAAUUAUUGCACGCUUUUAGCUGUCAUUAUUGCUAAAAGUGACGACUGAAUAGCAUUAGCAUGCAAUUGGAGCAUUGAUUGCUGAUUAGUGCUAAUUAAAAAAGUUGUUAAACUCAUUUUGACUCUCGUUUUAGUACAUUCCUAAAAAAACACACCAGUAAGUUAGAAUCAUGGAGCUGACCGUAAUUUUAACACACAAAGAAGAAUCAUAUACAUAUAUAUUAUCAUAUGAUAGUUUCAUUUUCAACAUAAAUAGUAAAGUAUAUAGUUAACAUUUUUAAAUAAAGCAGCAGCAGCAGAAGCAGCAGGCCAACAAGUAUCUAUGUAGAAAAUGAGAUAGAUGAUCACGACGAAUAAAAACAAAAAGUCAAAUGUUGAUGAAAAGAAUGUAAGUGUGAAAACAUAUAUAGGAGUGGGAGUGGGGUCUUUUCCACCGCAACCACAAAAAGGUAUCCGAAGAAAAAAGAAUUCCUAAUAUAUUAACAGAAUCCAAUUUUUUUUCAACAUACAUAUCCGAGUUUUAUUUUACGUGUGUUCGAGGAAUACUUUACUUGAAGGUUUUUUCCUUUUUUUGGCAAUGAUGAGUUAGUACGUAAGUCUGUUUUACUGUGUGUUGGAAUAUCGUAUUCAUUGUAUUCAAAACAGUUGAGCUAAUCUAGUAGUAUAUGUUUGUUUUGAUGAACCAAAUAGUUGACCAAUUAUAUCAUAUAUUAUCAUAUGAUAGUUUCAUUUGGUUUGUCAUAUCUUUGUAGAUUGAUCAUAACCAAUACUAUAAUGAUCUUUCAGUUGUUAUAAAAGCUUAAUUAUAUAUGAUGUUCAAAAUUCUUACAACGAAUCAAAAUACCCGAAGUUUUACAUUAACGAUCUUAAAACAAAGGUUUACGUACGUCGAUCUACAAAUUUUGAACUCUUGCUUAAUAAAGUUUAGUUUGAUUAAUAUAUAUAGAGAUAUAAACGUAUCUCGUACGUGCUGUAAAACUCUUUGAUGUAAUGUUAUGCGAGGACUUGGUUUAUUAAGAAGUGUACGUAGUCGGGGGGCAGGUCAUGAAAAUUAAUAUAUACACGACACGGAGUACACAUUAUAUAUUGCUUUGAAAUUGAAAUUUAGACAGCUAAGGUUACGACGAAGAAGAAGACCAAAAGGAAUGAUAAGAUCGGGAGGAAGUAAAUACACAAUACAAAAUGCUCAAUUAAUGAAUAAAAACAGUGAGAGUUUUUGGAAGUUAUUGAUCACGGAGAAGAUGGAUCAUCACCUGGCAUAAUUAUAGUGGCCACACACGACUUAAAAUAUUACUAAUCAUUUUGUUUCUUAAUUAGGGAGAUAUGUAUUGACAUAAGUACAUUAUAUAGAUGACCCGACGACAUAAGGAGUAUAUGACCCGCCUCGUUCAAUUCAUAUAUAUGAUUCCAACAAAUAUGAAAGAGACCAAGUAGCUAAUCACAAUAUCGAUAAAUUUAUAUAUAGAUGUUGAGCUUAAGCUUUUAGAUCUAUGUGUGGUUUGAACGAAUGAAUAUAUAUAUAAAUCAGUACACAACGUUAACGUCAUACCCAUUAUUAUUAUUAUUGUUUUCAUCACAUUAUAAGAUUUUCUAUACGCUUAAUCAUUACCUAAGACAACUCAUUAUGUUGUUUUUUCCAAAAAACAUCAAUCAAAAUGUUAAUAAAAUAAAAAAGCAAGCCACAAAUUCACGAAAUAUACAAAAUGACACAAUUUUUUUCCCUUGUAGAUAUAUAUGAAUCCUCAUUGCAUCCACCAUUAGUUAUGAAUUUUUAUAGCGUAUAUGAUAUAUCACAAGUCACAAAAAGUAUAACAUAUUAGUCAAUACAAAAAGAAAACUUAGAAAAUUCCACAAUCAUGCGUAUACAAAACUGAAAAAUUUCCACAUUAAAUUUGGUAUUUUCCCCCAACUAAAUAACACUUCUUUUUUUUAAUAAUUUUGUUCUAAAAUUUAUAAACAAAUAUAAGGGUGUUUGAAAUGAUAAAAUAUAUAUAUGUGGGAAAAAACAAAAAGCAUAUAUUAUAUAUAAGAUAUAUAUAUAUGUGGUAUAUGGAAAAAUGGACUGUCAAAACCCAACAAAAUAAAAAAUAAAAAAGAAGAAGAAGAGAGAAGACAGGCUGGCAAAUAUCUCUCCGAUGAUUGCUCGUGGGUCCUGUUGUCUUCACUGUCUUAAGCACAUGCGCUUCCUUCUUCCUGCUUACGUGUCCUCUUCCCAUUUUACACUUAAUUAAUUAAUUACCACUUUAAUAUAUAUUUUCCAAAAAACUAUACAGUAUAUUUAAAACCUACACUUGCUCUUCUUAAAUCAUACAGAGUAUAAAACAAACAAACCUUUGUUAAAUUAGUCUGCAAGCCUCCUACAACAACAAUCUUACAUUUUUACGAUAUCAUAUGUAUUCUUUAAUUGUAAUGUUGGGUUUAUACUGGUUUGAAUACUACUUACUUGCGUAAGAGUAAGAUUUUAUAUAUACACGCAAGUAAGCUUCUUUCGUAUUUAAUAAUACGACUUGUUCGUAAUCCAAUUAUUAGUUAUCCGCCGUUUGUAUAUACAGUAUAAAAUUUAAGUCUUUUAAUCACUUUGUCCAAAAUAUGCAUAUAUAUACUAAUAUUUAUUUUAUAAGAAAAAAACAGUAAAUCCAAACGGCUGCUUGCUCAAAUCAAAACAGACCACAUGAGCUCCAUGUGUCGUUUUAACAUCUUCUUCUUUCGUCAAUCUUUAUCUAUCUUAUAUCUUUGCUCUCCUUUUUAAUCAAAUUUUUUUAGCAUUUGUUUUGUAUUUUGAUGUUACUAAAGACGAAAUCAGUUGUAGUAGUAGUAGUAGUAGUAGUAGAAGCAGGUAGUGGUACACAUUACAAAAAUUACUAACAAUCCUUUUAUUUUCUCAAUUAGGUUUAGCAAAUUCAUAACGGAUACUAGUCGUGUCGGCAAGAUAUGUGGUGCCAAAGUCAAAAAAUACCAUUUAAUUUUAGAAAAAUUGAUGAAUUUAGUCGACUAAUCUAGUUAAUUCAUAUAAUAUGAAAUAGUCUAAAACAGCUACGAGACAAAAUCAUUGAGAUAAAUAUUACCAAAACAAAACAACACUAAUUCCUAGCAAAACAAGGAUUACUUACUGAUAAUUGAAUACUACACACUCCACCCCUACUAAUAAGUCUAAAGUUAUAAGAGGAGUGAUGUGUUUAACUAAAAUUUUAUUUUAAUUUUAAGGGGAAGAAGAAGAAGAAGGCAAAAAAAAUGAGGCACCAAAAGAUCUCAGUGAAUAUAAAUAAUUGUCUAGUCCUUUUAUGUAAAUUUAAUGUUACACUAUUGGGAUCAAACAAAAUGAAUAAUAGUAAUGAUUUAUGGUAAUAUUAAUAGCAAAUUCCAACCAAACACUAGUACUAGUAGUAGUGUUAAACAAAUAAUAACAUGUACUUUGGUUCUCUCUCUCUCUCUCUCUUUGCUUCUUCUUCUCUUCAUCUCCUCCUCUCCCUCUCCCUCUCCCUCUCCCUCUCCCUCUCUGCUCUUUCAUUGUUUUUAUUCUUUUUUCUUUCUCUCUUGCGACUUUUCUCCUUCCCUCAGGAACUUGUUAAGUUUCUGAGUCCAUGAAGAUGCCAGUAAGUACGUUUCUCCCUUUCUUUAUUUUGUUUCUUAUUAAAAUCUUGCUCUAAUGAGUUUUGCCUUCUCUGUCUGUUGUUUCUUAAGUAUGAAACUUUGUGGACGAAUCUCUACUUCAAUUCUUAUGAUUCUCUUCUCUUUUUUUGUUUUUGUUUUGGUAAAAGAAUAGUUAUAUGAAAUCGAGUUAUCUCUUCUGUGUUCUUUGUUUGUAAUUGGGACCUCACAGCAGCCGAAUCUAGAAAUCUGUCUUAGAUUCCUCUGUUUUUUUUCUUUUGUACUUGUUGGUUCUGUUUCUUGGAUCUUCAUGUCAGUGACUUCUGAUUUUUUUUUUGAUUAAUGGUGAUGCUUCUGUGUUUAUGUAACUCUGUGGCUUGUUUCUGAGAUUUUCCAAGACGAGAAAUGAUCAGAUUUCCCUUAAAUUCUUAUGGAGGAGAGUUCAUGUUUUUCAUUAGAUAUGAUUCUUAUCAAAACUCAAUUUUCCGGGAAAGUUUAUUAGCUUUUCCCGGUAUUUUCUCUACAGAAAACGUUUCUUUACUUCCCUCACACAUGAUUGUCAUUCAUCACAUCCUUUUUUUGCAAAUUUCAUUGAAAUAUUCAUCAGCUUUGAUCCGAAUUUAUCGAAUUUUUAGACUGAUUGGCUCGAGCUGCUAUGCAGGUGGCAUUGGUCUGGCUACUGGCAUUCAUCAUUCUACUGAUCAGAGGAGAAGGCAAUAAUGCCAUCUGCAAGAAGAGUUUCAAGUUAGACCCUAGACCUCACAGCGUUUCCAUCCUCGAGUUUGGAGCGGUUGGAGAUGGAAAGACUCUGAACACGCUUGCUUUCCAAAAUGCGAUUUUUUACCUCAAGUCUUUCGCGGAUAAAGGCGGUGCUCAGCUUUAUGUUCCACCGGGGAAAUGGCUGACGGGGAGCUUCAAUCUCACGAGCCAUCUCACUCUCUUCUUGGAGAAAGGAGCAACAAUUCUUGCAUCACCGGUAUGAUCUCUAGCAAAUUCUGUUUAUGGUUUUUGCCUGAGUCGUCUUUUCACUUUUGCGAUUGGGGUAUCGGAACAAAAACUAGCACCAAAAAAUGUAUAAAACAUCAUGUGCAUCGUUCUGUUGGGAGCAAGAUUUGUUUCUAGACUUUAGUUUAUGCUUUUGUUGUUAUGUGCUUACUGAUCAGUGUUCUUUGGUAGUCAUAACUGUUUAGGAGGUGUCUCGGUAGACAAGCUCAGUGUUUUGAAUUGGAUAAGAUAGUAACACUGUCUCUCUUUUGUUGCUAACGUCCUAGGAUCCUUCGCAUUGGGACAUAGUCAGUCCUCUACCGUCCUAUGGUCGUGGAAUUGAACUUCCUGGAAAGCGGUACAGAAGUUUGAUCAAUGGAGACAAUCUACUAGAUGUAAUCAUCACCGGUAAACAACAACAAGCUUAUAUACCAUCAUUACCUAAGAUUCUGGCUUGACAACAUUUAAGACUUAUAUAACAUCUUUAUAUUUGGCAGGCGAUAACGGGACAUUUGACGGGCAGGGUGCAGCGUGGUGGGAGUGGCUCGAGUCCGGGUCCUUAAACUAUAGCCGACCUCAUAUUAUUGAAUUCGUCUCCUCCAAAAACAUCCUCAUAUCAAAUCUAACCUUCUUAAACGCACCCUCGACCAACAUUCACCCGGUUUAUUGCAGUCAGGUUCAUAUCCGCAAAGUUUUGAUCGAAACAUCGGUUGAUUCUCCUUACGUUCUCGGAGUUUCCCCCGGUAAAAUCAUUUCUUCAUUUUUAUUUUCCAUCACUCCGCUAUGUUACCGUUCAAUCACUAAUAUAUCUUGUACUGUUUUAUUUUUUUUUGUUUCAGAUUCUUCAGACAAUGUUUGUAUCGAAGAAUCAACGAUCAACGUUGGCCACGACGCGGUCUCACUCAAGAGUGGUUGGGACCAAUACGGGAUAAACUACGGCCGUCCAACCACAGCUGUUCACAUUCGAAAUCUCAGCUUAAAGUCUCCCACGGGCGCGGGAAUCUCCUUCGGCAGCGAGAUGUCAGGGGGUAUUUCGGACAUUACCGUGGAGCGUAUUAACAUACACAGCUCACUCGUAGGCAUAGCCUUCAGAACCACCAGAGGCAGAGGAGGUUACAUCCGUGAUAUCACAAUCUCCAACAUCGAUCUCUCCAGCGUUGACACUGCCAUCUUCGCCAGUGGACACACCGGGUCGCAUCCGGAUGAUAAAUACGACCGGGACGCACUCCCUGUCGUAACACGCAUCACCAUGAGGAAUAUCACCGGUGAGGAUAUAGGAGUGGCCGGAAACCUCACCGGGAUCGGAGAAUCUCCGUUCACGUCGAUAUGCCUAGCGGAUAUACAUUUACAAACUCAUUCAGAUUCUUGGGUUUGCUCCAACGUCUCUGGUUUCUCAGACGACGUAUCACCGGAGCCUUGUUCAGAGCUUAUGAGUUCUCCAUCAUCGUGCUUUGCGGGUGGUAGCAUAUACGGCGGAGAAGCGGCUGCUCAGUCGUGGUGAUUCUAGUGGAAAAAUAAAUGGGUGAUGAAGAAAAGAAAAAAAAGGAGAAGAAGAGAGGGAGGUGGGAGUUUGGUUUACUACGAUACGAUUGGAUUUUGAAAUUUUUUUUGUCAAUAAGUUCAUAAAUUUGUUGUCAGAGCGAGAGGAUAAAAAAGAAAGAAAGAAGAGAAUUACGUUUAUAAGUGGUGGGUGAGUUUCCAAGAACAGAGCGAGCUUCAAUUUGUUAUUUUGUACAGUUUCCAUUUCUUUCAUUCAUGGUGUAACAAUAUUCAUCUUCUUUGUUUCUAUUAAGCAAAAAAAAAAGAUCAUUUGUGAACUGACUUGUCACUAAAGACUCAUUUUCUCAAGUUUUAUUAAACUCUACAACAGUUCUCUCUAUGUUUUAUAUGAACAUGCGAGGUGUUGCAGACUUAACCAAAGUCAGUACGACUUAUUCUGAGGUGUUGUAGACUUAACCAAAGUAGUAUGACUUAUUCAGCAUGUUAUCUAGUGAUAUCUAAUAUGUUUCGUAAGAUAGAAACCAUUCGGAUGACCAACACACAACAAUAUGGGAUUGGAUCCUUAGAACAAGGAGUCCUUUUAGGAAUGGGAGUAAAGUAUCAUUUGCCAUGUUGAAACCCAUUUUUUGCAUUCGUUGUAUCACUCUCUGUGGCUUCCAUUAUCUUCUCUUCCCCCAAAUUGACUCACGUGGCUCAUCUUUUAGCUGUUUGACGCCAUUGCUCUCCCACUUUUUUUUUUUCUUUCUUACAUUAAAACAGUUAUGUUUUAAAACUGAAUAGACGAUGAAAUUACUAAACCAUCUAUGUGAAAUUGUUCAACAUUUUUCAUCUUAAAAUCAUUGCGCAUAACCUUAAAAAUGGACCCAAAAAAAAAAAACUGAUGAGUUUACUAACUGUUUUGGUGUUUUUAGUAACAGUUACUUAUUAUUACUACCAAACGUUGUGGGCACAUGAUAGGACACCCAUCAAGAUGAAUACAACAUGAUGAUUAAAAAAAAAAAAGAAGAAGAAGAUGAAUACUCCUCAGACUAUUGGCGAACGUUAAAUAUAUAAUUUGGUUAUACGAUCGAAUUUACUUUACAAAAAUCCAUAUGGAUUAAUUUAUUGACACGUAAAGAACCAUUAUUAUAUUUGGCCGCGUGAAUUAAUAUUUGAUCCUCCAUAAAAUCCAGAAAAAAAAAAUACUCUUAAGAAACAAUGAACUCCAUAAGACUAUUACGUGAUUAAACAAAUACUUACAGAUUAUGGCUCUCCGAUUAAAAUUAACUAAAAUUAAAAUUUGUUUCGGUCACAUGCUAUCCCUAUCCGAUUCUG
rnacentral:lncRNA from 1 species